rnacentral:lncRNA from 1 species
UAGAGUGAGAGAAGUAGAGAAACAGUUGGAGGGAGAUAUACUGAGAGAGAGGGGGGGGGGUAGAGCCCAUUGGAUUAGAGUGAAAUAAAUAGAGAAACAGUUGGAGGGAUAUAUUCUGAGAGAGAGAAAGAGAGAGAGAGAGAGAGAGAGAGAGAGAGAGAGAGAGAGAAAGGAAUCAGGUCAUGUCGAGCUCUAACUUCUGAACAAAUCACACAAUGCCCACACAAUGCUGUCCCUACCAUCAAUGAGGCUUCUAAAGCAUCAUAAACAGCCAGCAGCACCAGCAGAGACCGAGCAUGAUCAUGGGCUUCAGUGAGCAUGGAAGUCAACCGGAUAAAGAUCUCAUGUUCCCCUGUGGACAUGAUGCUGCACACGGAACAUGCUGUGGGAUGCACUCCAUCUCCACACAUACCAAAGAGACAUACACCCCUGCACUGCUUAAACAUUGAGUCAGGAAAUAGAUUUGAAAAAAGUGUCAUUUCCUCCCUCUUCCUCCUUCCUCCAUGCUCACUGAUGAUGAAAAGACCAC